UACGGGGGGGGCAAGCGUUGUUCGGAAUUACUGGGCGUAAAGGGCUCGUAGGCGGCCAACUAAGUCGGAUGUGAAAUCCCCAGGCUUAACCUGGGAACUGCAUCCGAUACUGGAUGGCUUGAAUUCGGGAGAGGGAUGCAGAAUUCCAGGUGUAGCGGUGAAAUGCGUAGAUAUCUGGAGGAACACCGGUGGCGUAGGCGGCAUCCUGGACCAACACUGACGCUGAGUGAGCGAAAGCCAGGGGAGCAAACGGG
rnacentral:rRNA from 1 species